CCCUGGUUAGCUCAGUUGGUAGAGCGCUCCACUUGUAAUGGAAAGGUCCCAGGUUCGAUAGCCAGACCAGGCG
rfam:Ixodes scapularis strain Wikel colony gcontig_1108379372876, whole genome shotgun sequence.